UUUUUAAGGUUCAAGGAAGGGUCCAAGCAACCACUACAACCUCAAGCUUCUAUUUCUGUUUCCUUAGCUCUAACAGUUCAGGGAGGUAAAAGACAAAGUAAGAAGAAAGAAGAGAGGCUAAAAGUUCAGAAGGAGGUUCUGGGAAGUUCUCUCUUCUGUUCCCAAACUGGAAAGCUGGAAUUGGACUGUAACCUUCUGACCUUACUCAUACAAAGAGAUCUACCCUGGAUUGUCUUUUCCAAGGCCUGCUCUGUCCACAGGAUAAAUCACAGGGUAUGUUAUUUGGUCCCCAUCUGUACUCAGAUCAUGUCGUAAGGUCCUUCCUUAAGUACUAUCUUCCCCAUUAAAAAAGAAUCUUAAAAAUUCCUGAAUUUUCCUGCAUAGUUGCAUCACAGAGUAAGGAUCAAAGAGGUUUCCUAGAUCAAGCAGAAGCAGAAGCCCAAGCGGAUUCCUUUCUGGCCUCUCCAAAGGCCCGGCUGACAGACUAAUGAG
rnacentral:lncRNA from 12 species